rnacentral:rRNA from 1 species
UUUGACCUCAAAUCAGGUAGGACUACCCGCUGAACUUAAGCAUAUCAAUAAGCGGAGGAAAAGAAACUAACAAGGAUUCCCCUAGUAACUGCGAGUGAAGCGGGAAAAGCUCAAAUUUGAAAUCUGGCAGUCUUUUUUUUCUUCUUUGGCUGUCCGAGUUGUAAUCUAGAGAAGUGCUUACCUGCACUGGACCAUGUAUAAGUCUCCUGGAAUGGAGCCUCACAGAGGGUGAGAAUCCCGUCUUUGACAUGGACUGCCAGUGUGUUGUGGUGUGCUCUCAAAGAGUCGAGUUGUUUGGGAAUGCAGCUCUAAAUGGGUGGUAAACUCCAUCUAAAGCUAAAUAUUGGCGAGAGACCGAUAGUGAACAAGUACCGUGAGGGAAAGAUGAAAAGGACUUUGGAAAGAGAGUUAAACAGUAUGUGAAAUUGUUGAAAGGGAAACGCUUGAAGUCAGUUAUGUUGGCUAGGGAUCAACCUAGCUAUUUUUUUGCUGGGUGAAUUUCCUAGUCUUACAGGCCAACAUCAGUCUUGACUGCUGGAAAAGAGCAGGGGGAAUGUGGCACCUUUGGGUGUGUUAUAGCCCUUUGUCAUAUGUGGCAGUUGGGACUGAGGGAUGCAGCAUGCCGUGAGGCUGGGUUUUUGACCACGUUUCAUGCUUAGGAUGUUGGCUUUUAAUGGCUUCAAUCGACCCGUCUUGAAACACGGACCAAGGAGUCUAACAUGCCUGCGAGUGUUUGGGUGGUGAAAACCCUUGUGCACAAUGAAAGUGAAAGUUGAGAUCCCUGUCAUGGGGAGCAUCGACGCCCGGACCUGAGCUUUUAGCGACGGAUCUGCGGUAGAGCAUGCAUGUUGGGACCCGAAAGAUGGUGAACUAUGCCUGAAUAGGGCAAAGCCAGAGGAAACUCUGGUGGAGGCUCGUAGCGAUUCUGACGUGCAAAUCGAUCGUCAAAUUUGGGUAUAGGGGCGAAAGACUAAUCG